AACAAGAGCCAACCUUUGAAAAACAAUAGAUAAUACUUUUUGACUCAGGAAGAUGAGACCCCCUAGUGGAAGGAAAAGGGGAAGUGCAGGGAAAAGGGGAGGAGUUAAGAAGACAGGUGGAGAGAGUUGGGCAAUCAAAAUGGCGGCAAAUACAAGCGGCAGGAACAGGUGGACGAGGGAGCGUGGACACGAGUACGCGGGAAAUGGACAACCUGAGGACAGAUGAGAGGAACCAGAACGGCUGCAGCGACCUCAUCACCUGCAGAUAAUUAGACGGGAGUCGAGCGAGUCGGCACGAGAGGAGGACGAUUUCUCAGAAAUGCUGAUGUCAAAGUUGGGAAUCUGCUGAUGGUCUAAAAACACACAAGAAUGGAGGACUCCAUAGAACACUACCUCAGCAGUCUUGUGCAGAAGUCUUUAAGGUUCAGGAUGAGGAAAACUCUCAGCACACGCAGGAGAAAAAGGCAGCACAGAUUCUGAGAAAGCUGCUUUUCAUAUCAACUCUCUUCCCACUGGAGGGUUUCCUAAACGAAGAGCCGGGAUUCAUUUAAAUGAAGGACCACAGGAACACAUUUAAAAGAACACACAGACUAAUUUACAGACGCUCCCUUUCUGACAAAUGGCUGAUGUAAGCCCCUAAAGUGCCUCUUAAUCUGGCCUCCCAUGUUCUGCAAUCUGUCAUGAUUGACAGCGUGUGUUCACCGGUAACAACACAAACAUUCAAUCUGGCUGUCAAGACCCCUGAAGGCAUUUUUUUUCCACCUGGACGAGGGGGCUGGGCCAGUAAAGCCUGUGAUUACAGGUACAUCACUGGUUAAAGUUCAGCCUGGCAGAAUGCUGCUCUCCGGUGAUUCACACACAUUAGCAUCCCGGACGCUCAGGGUGAUUUGCAUGCAUUGUCAGCCCUUUUAAGACAUCACACUAAGCACUUGAGCGAGUUUGCAGCUAUCGGGUCCAAGGGGCCUCAAACCUGCCUGCUGUCAAAGAUUUGUCCAGUCACGUCCUUAAUCACGGCGUUAGAGGCGAGGAGGUUAGCGUUAAUGUGAGGAGAAUGGCUAACAGAGGUGAUUAAUGAUUUUUAUCUCAUUUGAAGGUUCCAGGCUGAUAAAUUAGAUGCUCCAGAUUCUAAGGCUGUUUUUUUUUUCUUUUUUUCUGAUGAACUGAUUAUUCCGUUCCUGUGGUAUUAGUAUUUAACUCUGGCUAAUGGUAAUGAUGAUGAUGGUGAUGAGACAUAUCUGCGCAUUUUAUUUUUAUUUUGCCUACAAUAAACCACUUCUUAUAUCAAACAGAGAUAAGGAGUCGUGAUCAGCCCAGUAAUUUCUUACAAAAUUAUAACAAAAAGUUGUAUUUGAAUAACUGGUAAACACUCUUGUUACUGCCAAUUGAGCAGUUACUAUUUUAAUCUGAUUAAGUAAAGGUUAGCUGUGGAUUAAUCGUGAUUAAUCACGAUUAAUCAAGAUGAAGUAACAUUACUAAAUGUAACAAAAAUAGAUAAUUCUAUAUUGUUCUAAAAAAA